rnacentral:tRNA from 1 species
GCCCGGCUAGCUCGGUCGGUAGAGAAUGAGACUCUUAAUCUCAGGGUCGUGGGUUCUAGCCCCACAUUGGGCG